UCUAGGAAUCUUGGCUCCUUGGCAUCUUCACAGCUAUCUCUCAAAGCACCCGCUGCUGAGGACUUGGGGACUCUGAAAGCUUGGGAGUCCAGUUAAUGCUGCCUGCUGGAAUCGUGAAUGGCCUUGUUGACUGAUUGUGGGCAGGUAAUGACACUACAGGAAGCCAUGAGUGCAGUGGCCCUGUCAUGCCUGGAAGACAGCAUCAGGAAGCCAUGUCCAGUGGCAUUGGAAUGCCUUGAAGACAGCGUCAGGAAGCCAUGAGUGCAGUGGCCCUGUCAUGCCAGGAAGACAGCAUGUCUCAUUCAUUCCUCUCCUCCAGAUUUUACAGCCUUUCGUUAAAAGGGGAUUAAUUUGAUUCAUAUUCUAUAUGUACAUGUGUUUUGUCUGUGUGCAUGUUUGUGUACAUGGGUUGUGCACACUGCCUACAGAGGCUAGAAUAGUCUUUCUAAUCCUGGAUCAGGAGUUACAGAUGGUAGAGAGCUGUUAAGUCAGUGCAGUGAAGCAAACCUAGGUUCUGUAGGAGAAUAGCAUGUUUUCGUAAACAUGUGUCCAUUCCCCCAGCCCCCAGCUCUGGACUCUGACAUCCUUUACUGCGCUUGCUGUGACAGUGUACCCUGAACCUGAGAGGGCAGGUCGUGUUGAUGGUCCAUUUAAGGAGGGGCACUGAAUCCUCAAUAAUUCUCCACACUCUGAGCAGCACUGAAUCUCUGUACUGCUGCCGACCACUGCAGAGAUACGCUAUUGGGGCCACAGUUGAGGAAGCCUUAAUUCAAACAUAUAAGCAUCAUGGGAAAUUUGUGUUUAAAAUAAUAUUUUAAAUUUACUUAUGGAUUUUGUAUGUAGCAGUGUUUUGCCUGAAUGGUUGCUUUAGUACCUCAUAUCUGAGUUAUAAAUGGUUGUGAGCCAACAUAUGAAUGCUGGGAAUUGUACAGGAGUCCUUUGGAAGAGCAGGCACUGAUUUUUGCUGCUAAGACAUCUCUGGGCACUCCCUCUGAGCCUUUAUUAGGAUUCUGCAGAUAUCAUCACUCACUGUCCAAGAGUGAGAAGCAUGGUUCUCUUCCUGUAGUCUGCCAUGUCCAACAGGGAAGGAGAAGCCUUACUGCAAGCUGGAGUUGCCCUGCCUGAGAUUCUGAGGACUAGUCCUACUAUGGGUGGGAACUAGGAUAGCUACUUUUGAGAAUAAAUGAAGUCAUUCAAUAUCACAGAAAGGAACAAGACAGGAUGUAUAAGUCCUCACUAAUUGAAUCUCAAAGAAAUAUUUAGUAAGGUUCAUUUCCAGACUUGCUAGGCAG